AUUUUCUUAGUAUAACUAGUACAGAUGACUUCCAAUCACCUAGUCUUGGUUAAACCCCCGAGAGAAAAUA
rnacentral:tRNA from 1 species